CUCUGCAGUCGUUGAAUCAAUAUGCAGUAAAGGGGUUCUACACUUUAAUGUUGUUCUGUAGAAAUGGCUGAAACUUCACUGUAACGUGUAGAACAUCAAGAGUGGACCAUCAACAAAACGUUAACAAUUGAUCAAAUGCAUCCAAUGACAAUGCCUGAAAUACUGUAGUCCUCAAUAUCUCCUAUUAGAUUAGCCCAAUAUGUAGUCUUAAAGGGGCAAUCAGCAGUUGUUGCAUCCAUCUGGGGACUUAUACAUUAAUGAUAUGUACCCAUCUGUUUCUUGAAGAAUUCCCUUAUAAAUGCCUCAUGAGCUUAGUUCAACUGUCGUACCCUAUCAGAACCCAAAAUAUAAGCUUAUAUUAUCUCCAAUGUUUAUCAGUAAAUAUAAACGAACACUGUAUAUCCUCAAAACAUGGUUAAAACUAUAAUGUUGGUAUCAUGGAUGGUUGCAUUUCUCCAGCCCCAUCCCUCAGCUUUUUACCGAAACGGGCACGGAGUACGCUUUGUUAUUGUUUCUACUGCUGAUUGCUGUCCCCGUUACUCCUCAAGGUCCAAGGACUGUAUGUUAUUUUCAGGGGUAGACUGGCUCUGACAGCUAAAAUAGUCAAAUAUUCCAUCUAAAUGUGAAUCGAUUCUCAACGGGCAGGGAGUACGCUUUGUUAUUGUUUCUACUGCUGAUUCUCUGCCCCCGUUACUCCUCAAAAUAAUUUCACAUAAUACUUUCAUAUCACAUAACAAUUAUUUCACACAAUACUUUCAUAUCACAUCAAAAUAAUUUCACACAAUACUUUCAUAUCACAUCUAAAUAGGUAACCAGUCUGUAUAGAUAGAUAGCUAAGUGAAUUAAAUAUCACCAGCUACCUAACUUCAUAUUAGCUAUCUUGAUGUAUUUAUCACUGUAAAAAACUAACUCCAAAUGCAUUUGUAGGUAGCUAGCUAACAGCCAUGGAGGAGGGUGAAAGGAUAGCAGCCCCAACUGUCAGUGAGAGAGGAGGCUAUUCUGGAUAGGGCAGGUACUUUUGUGUAGUUCCUGUCCCUAGAAGUGAGGACGGAGAUAAUAGUAACAUAAUAUUCAGUGUGGUGUAAUUUGACUAUAAUGAAGUGUGUUUCUUGUGAGGUUUUCUGUCCUCAGAUAAAGAGCGCUAUGAAAGCCAGUCUACAUAUGAAGAGGUCCCAAUGAAGAGCAGUGGUUCUCAGUCCUGGGGACUCAAAGAGGGGCAUGUUUUUGCCUCAGCACUGCACAGCUGAUUCAAAUGAUCAACUCAUCAUCAAGCUUCAAGUGAUACCUUGUAACUGGAGAUUCCUUCAAAACGAUUGCCUACAGUUGCCGUGUAGGGCACUGCAAGGUUGGGUGACCAGGGUCAUCUGGGACUGCCUUCUGGAGGAAUUCAGAUGUGUGAAGGCUACCUGUGUCCUGCGUAACUUCAUGAGGAUGGACACGAGGACCAGGAGGGGAUCUGCAGCUCGCCGCCGUGUCCCAGAGGAGGAGUCUGCUGCUCUGCAGGAUGUUUCAAGGAUGGGGUCCAACAACGCAGCAAGAGAGGCAAUCCGUGUUCAGGAGAUCUUCACCUCCUACUUCUUCAAAGAGGGUACUGUUCCCUGGCAACACCAUAGACUACACUAUGCACAACCAAAGGCUCUUUUAAGAGCCAUCCACAUUGCAAUAAGAGUAUUCUUCCAUUUACUUAGCUAUGUCAACUGAAGUUAUUCAAUUCCCAGUUUCUCUCCCUUUGAUUUCUACUUCUCAGGUGAGGGUGCUGUUUAGGUAAGGGUGUGAUGUCUGUGCAAAAACAAAACAGGCUAUUUUAAAUCACCCAUAUUGAAGAAAUGUAGAGCAAUUAGACACCCUAUAACCCACACCUACACACUCAUGUAUCAAUCUGAUUGAUGGAUUGUGUUGUGCAGUAAGCAGGCUCAGGUGUAUUACUGUGGCUCCUUCCACCUUCAAAGAAUAGGCAAGAGGGCCAAACAUGGAGAAUAGUAAGACACUUCAUUAUUUCUAUAACUACGCUAUAUUGUUUGUCCUUGUGUGUCCGUUCAUGUUUUUCAGCAUAAAGUACUCUGCAGCCACUUAGUGUGGUGUGGACACCAGGUGAGGCCACACACAGAUUCCUGUUGAACACUGUCACUUUAACUACCUUAUUUUCUCAACAACAGUCUCUCUCCUUCACUUCAUCCCUCUCUCCCCUUCUCCCUAAAUCCUCUAGGUUAUAUCAGCUGUGUCGGUGAACCCCUCCUGCAUCUGGACUGGCUACAUAGAGGGCACAGCAUGAUCAGAGAUAUGUUUUGAUGUGAGAGGAUGCCAACCCCUAGUCCCAUCAUCGCCACCUCACCUGCUUUUAAGAUAACCUUUGGGCCGACUAGAGACACUGCUAUAUAAUUGUGAUGAACUGAGAGAAUAUUUAGGUAGCACUGUGAUUCAUUAAUCAUGUGCUGCCUUCCCUGGUCCUAUGUGCUUACCUCUUUCCCUUUCUGUCUUUUACACCUCUCUCUCCACCUCUUUCUUUCUCUGUUUUUAUAAUUCACAACAGAUGUGCAUUGAAGUACAGAUUGAACUUGUAUUUAUAACACUUGGAUAAUGAGCUUUUCAAUAAAGCGUUUCACAUUC